rnacentral:rRNA from 1 species
AUAAAGAAAGUAAAAAAGGGCGCAUGGCGGAUGCCUUGGCUCUCGGAGGCGAUGAAGGACGUGAUAAGCUGCGAUAAGCUUUGGGGAGGUGCAAAUGACCUUUGAUCCAGAGAUUUCCGAAUGGGACAACCCAAUAUCUUGAAGAGGUAUUAUCCAACGUUGUUGGAGGCUAACGCAGGGAACUGAAACAUCUUAGUACCUGCAGGAAAAGAAAAUAAACAAUGAUUCCCCCAGUAGUGGCGAGCGAACGGGGAACAGCCCAAACCAUCCAUGUUACGGCAUGGGUGGGGUUGUAGGACUACGCCGUUGCAUGAAGACAUCAGAGAAGAACUUUCUGGAAAGAAAGACCAUAGAGCAUGACAGUUGCGUAUUCGAAUGUUGUCGAAGCAUAGUAGUAUCCUGAGUAGCGCGGAGCACGAGGAAUUCUGCGUGAAUCUGCCGGGACCAUCCGGUAAGGCUAAAUACUCCCGAGAGACCGAUAGCGAACCAGUACCGUGAGGGAAAGGUGAAAAGCACUUCGAACAGAAGAGUGAAAUAGUUCCUGAAACCGUGCGCCUACAAGCGGUCGGAGCUCGUUAAUGAGUGACGGCGUGCCUUUUGCAUAAUGAACCUACGAGUUGCCUUUGCCGGCAAGGUUAAGUGUGACGACACACGUAUCCGAAGCGAAAGCGAGUCUGAAGAGGGCGUAUAGUCGGCAGUGGCAGACGCGAAACCAAGUGAUCUACCCUUGGCCAGGUUGAAGGCUGGGUAACACCAGCUGGAGGACCGCACCAAUAAGCGUUGAAAAGCUUCUGGAUGAGCUGAGGGUAGGGGUGAAAGGCUAAUCAAACUUGGAGAUAGCUCGUACUCCCCGAAAUGCAUUUAGGUGCAGCCUUGCGGGUUACUGAUGUGAGGUAGAGCGACUGAUAAGAUGCGAGGGCUUCACCGCCUAUCAAGUCUUGACAAACUCCGAAUGCGCAUCAGUUCUACCGCAGGAGUGAGGGCAUGGGUGCUAAGGUCCGUGCCCGAGAGGAGAAGAAUCCGGACCACCUGCUAAGGUCCCGAAAUGACAGCUAAGUUAAACUAACGAAGUCUGACUGCUAAGACAGCUAGGAUGUUGGCUUGGAAGCAGCCAUUCAUUUAAAGAGUGCGUAACAGCUCACUAGUCGAGGAGUCGGGCGUGGAUAAUAAUCGGGUAU